rnacentral:tRNA from 1 species
GGUGUCGUGGCCGAGUGGUCAGGCAGCGGUCUGCAAAACCGCGUACAGCGGUUCGAAUCCGCUCGACACCUCCA